UACGUAGGGGGCGAGCGUUGUCCGGAGUACUGGGCGUAAAGCGUGCGCAGGCGGUUAUGUAAGACAGUUGUGAAAUCCCCGGGCUCAACCUGGGAACUGCAUCUGUGACUGCAUAGCUAGAGUACGGUAGAGGGGGAUGGAAUUCCGCGUGUAGCAGUGAAUGCGUAGAUAUGCGGAGGAACACCGAUGGCGAAGGCAAUCCCCUGGACCUGUACUGACGCUCAUGCACGAAAGCGUGGGAGCAAACAGG
rnacentral:rRNA from 1 species